UACGUAGGGUGCAAGCGUUGUCCGGAAUUAUUGGGCGUAAAGAGCUCGUAGGCGGUGUGUCACGUCGGCCGUGAAAACCUGCAGCUUAACUGUGGGCGUGCGGUCGAUACGGGCAUCACUGGAGUUCGGCAGGGGAGACUGGAAUUCCUGGUGUAGCGGUGAAAUGCGCAGAUAUCAGGAGGAACACCGGUGGCGAAGGCGGGUCUCUGGGCCGAUACUGACGCUGAGGAGCGAAAGCGUGGGGGAGCAAACAGG
rnacentral:rRNA from 1 species